GACGUAGGGCGCGAGCGUUGUCCGGAUUUAUUGGGCGUAAAGAGCUCGUAGGCGGUGUGUCGCGUCGGCCGUGAAAACCUGCAGCUUAACUGUGGGCUUGCGGUCGAUACGGGCAUCACUGGAGUUCGGCAGGGGAGACUGGAAUUCCUGGUGUAGCGGUGAAAUGCGCAGAUAUCAGGAGGAACACCGGUGGCGAAGGCGGCUCGCUGGCUCAUUACUGACGGCUCAGGCGCGACAGCGUGGGGAUCAAACAGG
rnacentral:rRNA from 1 species